AACGAACGCUGGCGGCGUGCCUAACACAUGCAAGUCGAACGUGAUUAGAGGGCUUGCUCUCUAUGAAAGUGGCGCACGGGUGAGUAACGCGUAGAUAAUCUGCCUGAUGAUCUGGGAUAACACUUCGAAAGGGGUGCUAAUACCGGAUAAGCCCACGGAGUCCUUGGACACUGCGGGAAAAGGAGGGGACCUUUUAGGCCUUCCGUCAUCAGAUGAGUCUGCUUACCAUUAGCUAGUUGGUAGGGUAAGGGCCUACCAAGGCGACGAUGGUUAGCUGGUCUGAGAGGAUGAUCAGCCACACUGGAACUGAGACACGGUCCAGACUCCUACGGGAGGCAGCAGUGGGGAAUUUUGCGCAAUGGGGGAAACCCUGACGCAGCAACGCCGCGUGAGUGAUGAAGGCCCUUGGGUCGUAAAGCUCUGACAGAGGGAAAGAAAUGCGGGUGGCUAAUAUCCAUUCCGCUUGACGGUACCCUCAAAGGAAGCACCGGCUAACUCCGUGCCAGCCGCCGCGGUAAUAC
rnacentral:rRNA from 1 species